rnacentral:rRNA from 1 species
GACGAGCGCUGGCGGCGUGCUUAACACAUGCAAGUCGAACGGAAAGGCCCUGCUUUUGUGGGGUGCUCGAGUGGCGAACGGGUGAGUAACACGUGAGUAACCUGCCCUUGACUUUGGGAUAACUUCAGGAAACUGGGGCUAAUACCGGAUAGGAGCUCCUGCUGCAUGGUGGGGGUUGGAAAGUUUCGGCGGUUGGGGAUGGACUCGCGGCUUAUCAGCUUGUUGGUGGGGUAGUGGCUUACCAAGGCUUUGACGGGUAGCCGGCCUGAGAGGGUGACCGGCCACAUGGGGACUGAGAUACGGCCCAGACUCCUACGGGAGGCAGCAGUGGGGAAUAUUGCACAAUGGGCGGAAGCCUGAUGCAGCAACGCCGCGUGCGGGAUGACGGCCUUCGGGUUGUAAACCGCUUUCGCCUGUGACGAAGCGUGAGUGACGGUAAUGGGUAAAGAAGCACCGGCUAACUACGU